CUCCUCUCUGGGUCGCAUCUGGAGAGUUUCCAGUACUCUACCAGUCUCUACUAUGGAGGGAGAGUCAAGUAGAGGCGUACCCAUUCCUUUCCUAGCUUGGCCAGUGGCUAGCGAGUGGAAGGCAAUCUGCUACAAGU